rnacentral:lncRNA from 1 species
GCUGGCUGGAGAUGGGUAGUUGACAAACUCCGACCCAGCACAGUGUUUAUGUGGGUCAAAACUAGAAAACUAUGUCUGGAUGCGGCCGAGGCGGAAGGAUCCCUUCAGGCCAGGAGUUAAAGAGCAGCCUGAGCAACGUGGCGCGACCCCAUCUCAGUAGUUUCACCUCAACUUCCCAGCUCCUUGAACCCCAAGGUUCAAGGCUGCCAUGAGCUGUGAUGCCAUCACAGCACUCCGUCCUGCGAGACUGAGCUUAAGCUCUUGGACCUCAGCUGAGGCAGUAAAAGAACCAUAUCCUGUGUUUGAAUCAAACCCCG